rnacentral:rRNA from 1 species
AUUGAACGCUGGCGGCAUGCUUUACACAUGCAAGUCGAACGGCAACACGCGCUUCGGUCUUGACGCGAGUGGAGCACGGGUGAAUAAUGCAUCGGAACGUGCCCAGUAGUGGGGGAUCGCACGGCGAAAGCCGGAUAAAUACCGCAUGCGACGUGAGGGAGAAAGCGGGGGACCGAAAGGACGCUCGCCAUUGGACCGGCCGAUGUCGGAUUAGCUAGUUGGUGGGGUAAAGGCUUACCAAGCCGACGAUCCGUAGCUGGUCUGAGAGGACGACCAGCCACACUGGGACUGAGACACGGCCCAGACUCCUACGGGAGGCAGCAGUGGGGAAUUUUGGACAAUGGGGGCAACCCUGAUCCAGCCAUGCCGCGUGCGGGAAGAAGGCCUUCGGGUUGUAAACCGCUUUUGUUCGGGACGAAAACCUCUUGGCUAAUACCUCGGGGGGAUGACGGUACCGGAAGAAUAAGCACCGGCUAACUACGUG